AUGGUCACUGUCACCAUUUAUCUAAGCAAGAUUACGGACUCUUCUGAGCAGGACUGUGCCUUCCGGUUGGGCAGGUUGUUCAUGGCUCCAGAGUGCACACUGGAGUGGGUCCUGAAAUCACUCUGCCCCCUGCUCACUAAGCCUGUACCCUGGUGCGGGGCUGCAUCUGCCCAGAAGGAAUGUCUUUCUCCGGUUCACAAAAGGCCCCCCACGGGGCCACGGCAGUGCUCUCAAGGUCUGAAAACACAACGCAUCUCUUCUGCAGAGGGGGCUUCUUCGGGUCACUUCCAGGAUGCAAAGACAACGGGCUCUUUCCCCAGACAACUCCAGCAAACCUCACCUAACAUCUCAGCCCAAUCACAGAUGGCUGUUCCUUUCUUUGGGUUGGAUCUAACGGCUCCUUGUCCUCAGACUUCAAGGAUUUGA
rnacentral:lncRNA from 1 species